rnacentral:rRNA from 1 species
UUUUCCCCAAUAGGCGAAACGUGGUCCAGGGGGGGGCGCCCCGAGUUAAAAAAAAAAUUUUUUCCCGCAAAAACUCUUUUGCACCCCGACGACCCCCUUCUUUUUUAAUACACCCCCACGGUUGACGGUACCUUGAUAAGAAGCCCCGGGCUAACUACGUGCCAGCAGCCCCCGGUAAUACGUAGGGUGCGAGCGUUAAUCGGAAUUACUGGGCGUAAAGCGUGCGCAGGCGGCUUUGUAAGUCAGAUGUGAAAUCUCUCGAGCUCAAAUUCGGAACUGGUUCGAAAAUACAAGGCUAGAAUAUGUCAGAGGGGGGUAGAAUUCCACGUGUACCAGUGAAAUGCGUAGAGAUGGGAGGAAUACCAAGGCGAAGGCAGCCCCCUGGGUAAUUUACGGUCAGCAGAAAGCUGAC